rnacentral:rRNA from 1 species
UACGGAGGGGGCUAGCGUUAUUCGGAAUUACUGGGCGUAAAGCGCACGUAGGCGGACCAUCAAGUUGGGGGUGAAAUCCCAGGGCUCAACCCUGGAACUGCCUUCAAAACUGCUGGUCUUGAGGUCGUGAGAGGUGAGUGGAAUUCCGAGUGUAGAGGUGAAAUGCGUAGAGAUCCGGAGGAACACCGAUGGCGAAGGCAGCCCCCUGGGCUAAUACUGACGCUGAGGCACGAAAGCUAGGGGAGCAAACGGG